rnacentral:SRP_RNA from 1 species
UCCUCAGGCGAGUCGGGGAAGCCUCCUCCCAUGGGGACUGGGGUCACCGCUGCCACGGGGGUCGCUGCUGCAGGAGGGGGCCCGACAGGGGUAGGAGCUGGAACUGCGCCC